AUGCCCCUCCCACCUCCCCCUGUCGGCGGCCCCGGUGGCGCCUCUGCCUUUGCCCGUCCCACGCUGCAAGGAAGCCCCCGACACUUCGCACCGCCGGAUCCAGAUUCAACACUGGCGGGGCAUGGUGGAUCUGGAGCCGCUGCCUCCGAGGAGUUCGUGCCCGACUCGCAGCCAGGCGCGUCGGCUCCGGGUCUGGCCCUAGCUGGGUCGGGGCAUGGCGCCGCCGCCGCCUCAUCCCCGCGCAUUCAAGUGCGGGCGGGCGCUGGCAUUAACUGUGGAGUUGCGGGGCAGCUCGCUUCCUCCUUCCUCUCUGCUUCUGGCGUUCCUUCAAUGACGGGCGCGGGGCGCGAGGCGGAGGUGACCGGCGGCUGGCACAUCGUCACAUCGCGUAAUGGCCCGCGCCGCCCGGCUUUGGCCGCUCCUGCAUUCAAGCCGGCGCCCAUCCCUCGCUGGCUUCAGGGGCGCUGCUGUCGGUGCCUCCACCGCGGGCACAGGGCUGAGAGUUGCCGUGACCCGAUCCGCUGCUCCCGUUGUCUACAAAAUGGGCACAAAUCGCGCGGCUGCAAGAACAACUGGAAGCCUCUGAGCUCUCUCGACAGUCUCCGUGUGCCCCCACCACCGCUGCCUCGCCCCUCUGCUUCUCUUGCAAACCGUGUGGCUCCGCCCCGUCUGGGCCGGGGCUGGGAGACCUCUGCUCAGCGCCCCCUGCUGCAGUCCAACGCAACGGCUGCCGUGAUGCAGCGCAUGGGCGACGCCGCGCUAAGGCCAGAGGAGGACUUCGUCGUCGUUCUGGCGACACCUGAGAUGCAGGCGGAGGCAGCCAUCCUCGCCUCCAACUGUGCUAUGGCCUGGCUGGAGGGGGCCAGGCAGGACAUCCCCUGCCACCAGGUGGCUGCCGAGCUCGCGACGGCCCUGGGCGCGAGACCGGCCGACGUCGAAGUUGUCAAGCACUACCCCGAGCAAUUUUUGGUGUGCUUCAUGCAUCAACACCACUGCGUCGAUGCGUGUCUCGUGGUGAUCUUCGUGGCAAUGGCCACCGCAUCUUCGUGCGUGAGUGGAGGCUCAAGGCUCAUGCAGACAACGAAGACCAACUCCAUCAUGUCCGUCUCUGCUUGGAAGGCGUCCCGCUGCACGGCUGGAACCACUCCAUCGCCACCUUCCUCAUCGGCCGAGGUUGCUCCCUCGACUACAUCGAGCCUCGAUCGCUCCGCAAAGAGGACACAAGGGACAUGGCGCUUUGGGCUUGGACGUCCAACCCCAGUGCCAUCCCCAAGGUCAAAUGGCUCACUCUCCCGGCCCGUGGUCACCGCCGCAGCGGACGCCGAGGUCUCCGUCACCGCGUGCUCAUCCACCUCGACCUCCACGAGGACCACUCCAAGGCCGGGGACGACGACGACAACCCGCCGCCACCGGACGUCCAUGAGUUCACUUGGUACAGGAAGAAGGUGGACGGCACGUACACGCCAAGGGAGCGCGGGCCUACCCAGGGAUGUGCAGAACACCGCGGUGGCAGGCGUGAAGACGAGGGCGACCGUGACGGCAGGCGUGGCCGUGACGAUGGUCGCGCACGGGAAGGCUGGGGUGCCAGGGUCCGGCGCUCGCUCUCCCGAAACGCUCGGGACCGGCAUCAAGGGGAGGUCCAGAACCGUUCAAGGGACCGCUCCGGUGGCCGCCGGCACGAUGGCAACAGCCUGGCUGCUUCGCCCGCACCUAUGGAGGGACCUGCUGCUGCUCUGGUUCUUAGGGGAUCGGGCUCGGCCAGUGAUGCGCCUGCUCGCGCCCUCGAGCUGGUGGUCGUCCGUGGGCGCAGCCCGACGUGUCCGACAUCGCCACGCUCCUCCAGGCGCCGCUCGCAAGAUGAAAGGACCCCCCGGCGUCCCCUCCGCUCUCUCCGACAACCGUUCUGCCGCCAAGCCCAGUCUCCAAACGCGCUGA
rnacentral:rRNA from 1 species